GAAGUGCAAAUACUAACAAUGAAGAGAAUGAUGAUUCUGCAGAAUCAAAUAAUCAUCGAGUGCAAAGUGAUGAUGUAAUACUAAAUGAAUCUCGACAAGAAGGAUGAAAUUGUUCAAGUCAAACAAGCAAACCCUUCACUUUCUGACAUUGAGAUAGUUGAGAAAAUCUGGG